UUUAUCAGAUUAAUCUACCAAAGACAUGCAUGUGCAACACACAACACUGUAAAAAAAGAACUUGAAGAAUCAAUGACAUGAAAGAAGUUGCAAUACCAAAAACUAAAAUCUUAUAUCAAAGAAUGUUCAUGUCUGUCAUAUCUGAGGUUAGGUAGCACUCAAAACUAAUGACUUGCAUCAAUCUAAAAUACUUGCUAAGUUGCAAAUAUGAAGAAGCUAGCAACACUGAAGAUAUACAGCACAGCACUUUUUUUUUACAUAGAUGAAUUUAAAAUGAAAAUUUUACUUGCGUCCUCCACCGACCAUACCAGGUCCCAUUGUCCCCGACACGUUGGAUGGUGCACCGCUGACCCUUCCGUCAGAGUUUCCAAAUACAUUCAAAUCUUCAAAUAACUUGUAAGAUGGAACAAAGGGUCUUUGUCCAGAAUUCCCGCCCCUAGGAUCAACUCCUGGCAAAGGGAAUGAAUGAGUAUGUUGCAAGGGCCUAACCCCUUGUGCAGGAGGAUGAGAUGCUGCUGCGUUGUUGCCUUGAGAAGUCGAAAUUGCAUUUGAAGCCGAUAAAUGACUUUGAUAGUUAGCAUAUCCAGGUGUAGCAGCCCAUGGUGGUGGUGGAUAUCUUGCAGGGUAUUGACCAAGUUGAUUUGGAAACUGUGGCUGCUGUUGAGAUUGCUGAGAUUGUAUUUGCAUCGGUUGUUGAGGUUGGUGUUGAGGUCGAUGCUGAGACUGUAUUUGCAACUGCGGUUGUGGUUGACGCUGUAAAUGUGGAUAUUGUUGAGGCUGAUAUUGUGAUAGUUGGGGUUCAUUAUGUUGGUGAGGGCUAUAAUGAUGGUGUUGAUUCUGCAGCUGUGACUGAGGUAGCUCAGAUUGGGGUUGUCGGUUAUGCUGAUGCAGCACUUGCUCAGAUUCAUAAUGUGCAUGCACUUGUUGAGAUGAGGGUGGAGUUGUGGAUUGAGGAUGGGGUUGAUAAAUAUGUUGUGGAUUCUGGGAUUGAUACGUCUGUUGCGGAAGCUGGGUUUGAAACUCUGACUUAGGUUGUGGUUGCUGAGCCCAAGGGGCUACAUAACUGUUGAAUGGCAAACUUCCAGGAUAUGUUUGGGGAGAAUGAGAAUAACCAUCUGCGCUGGAUGGAACAGGUAUCUGAUGCAUACCCACUUGACUAGGGGCUGAUGAUGGUGCAUAUGUUGCGGUUGAUGAAGAAGAUGGUACCAGGGACAAAGUGAUACUCAGUAAGUCAAUGAUGUCCUGAUCUUUUGAAGAAGUACUAAUAGGUGCUGGCGGGUCUGGAAGAGCUAAUGCAUUGGAUGGUACAGAAGUUGAGGACUCUGGCACAUAUGGAGUUGUGCUGCUAGUGUUCAAUAACCCUAAAUUUUCACUAGAUCCUACAGUAGAAUCUUUAGAAGUCACUGAUUGUAUCUUAGAAUGCCUGCAGUAGUGAAAAGUUCAAACAAAUUAACUGAUUAAAACAUGAAUCAUGCCAACAAGUGCCCUAAGGGCGUAGUUUGAGCAAUCCAUAAACGGAAUUUUUAUCUUGGAAAUACAGGUCAAACACUUGUGGAAGCAAUAUAUACAUCUUUGUCUGUGCAAGAGAUACUUCUUUUGAUUAUUAAACAAUGUUGUAAUUGCAGUUGUUAUCUGUUAGAUAGUAGGAUUGUAAGGGUCUUGCUAGUUAAUAGGAGGCAGUUUUAUUAUUAAUAGGCAGUUUUUAGUAAAGAUAACUGCCAUAUGUAACUGCAGUAACCGUCAUAACUGCAGUUUUAGAAAAGAAACUAAUUAAUUAGGAUAAUGAGAGUGUUACCUAAAAAUAGAGGAGGCGAUUGAGAGAGGUUAUCUGGGAAUUUGAUUGGAAAGGGGCCAUUUUGGCAUUGGGGAGGUGCAGACCCUCGAAGUUCUGCGAUUAUUAUUUUGUAACCAAAGGGAUUUUUCCUAUUUACUUUUCUAUAUCAGUUGGUUUCUAUCAACUGAUAUCAGAGCCAAAGGGAACAUAAAACUAAUACUAUCAUCAACUUUCUUAAUUCUUGUGAUUUAGCAACAGUGCUAUAUAAAGGGACAAGGAAGUAGGAUAGAAUGAAAUCGAAUGUGGUUUAAAUCAAAUAAACAAAAGAAACACUUCAUGCUAAGAUACCUAUUUCAGCUGAACAAAACAAUUAAAUAAUUCACUCAAUCAUGCAAAUCCGCACAUGAAUAUAUACCAAAAUGCAUGUUGUGGAAGACAUACUAAAACUAUUUAUGCUAUUUGAUGUUAGUCAUGUUACACUUCCUAAUUUCAUAUGAAAAGUACAACGGAAAGAAAAUUGUUUCCAGAACCAUUAGCACUAAAAUAUCAAUUUAAGAUAAAUUAUCAGUUUUAAGAUACCUUCUAGCUAUCUGUGCAAAUUCAUCUUCUUCCUCUUCAUCACUCUCAACCCUUGUCUCGGAAUAAACAGCAGCAGAAGGGCUAGCUUUAGGUGUUGAAACAGACUCCGGAGGGCUAGAGCUCUUCACUUCAUUUUGAUUGACACUUUCAGGUGACACCGGAGUACUAGAACUGGGACUUGCACCGUGAAUUGGAAAAGAUGUACCAGAAGCAAUUGCAUCAUGCCUCGCAAGCAAACUUUGAAUAUUAUCAUUCAGUUCAAGGCCCCGUCCAAGAAGUUCUUCAUCCCUAUAGCAUAACCAAGAUGAUAAAAUUAUAUUAUCCCACAAAUCCUAUAGAUACACAAUUAUAUUUAGGUGUUCACGACAUGAUAUAACCGGUUUAAUGGAACUAACCCAGUUGUUGUCAGCAAAUGCAUCAAUUUUUUCUGGUUGGUGCGACAACGAUCAACAAGAUCAGCAAUUACUUCGUCUUUUACAGCCUGUAGAGCGCAAAAAGAUAACACUUAAACCAAUUUUCUUAGUUGCAAAGAGGAUUUAUGAACGACAACAACACUGUUUAACUUACCUCACGGUCAUUAGGAUUUACAGCUUGUAGCAUGUCACUCAAAAGGUCCAACACAUGUCGCAUGGAUUCCAAGCUUGACAUACUAAGUAUUUGAAGAGAAAAGUUAGCCAAAAGACGAAGUCAGACAUGCAGAAGCUCAGUGACACAAAAGACAGCAGCAGCAAAAAACAAAGUUUCACCUCAAACUUUCAAUCUCUGUUGCCAUUGUUUCAUCAAGUGUUUUUGAAGAGCUGCUUGGCAUCCCAUAUCCAGGUUGUGUAUUUCUUAUUGAUGGAUGAGUAGGAGGUGGGGUAAAUAUUGGAGCUGCGUCUGCUGAACGGGGCGGAAAAGAAACUCCAGAUCGCUGCCAUUUAUAAGAUCCAACACAAUAAUUCGAUGAUAAGAUCUAACAAUCAUUGAUUUAUAAUGUGUAAUUAUGGUUUACACACAUUAAUGCAAUUUCAAUCAGAAUUCAACGUAAUUUUGCAAUAAAAAGGAGGGAUAGUUCUGCACAAUUAGGUUAUGAGGGAAUAUUAGGGCAUGUUUGGUUCGAGAAACAUAUUCUAUGCCAUUGUGUUUUAAAAGUAUUUCUCUGUUUUUUUUUGUAAAGGAGACAGUACAUAAAAUUUAAAACAGAAAACAAGGUGGCAUUUCGGUAAUUGAAAUUGAAAAUAGAAACUGUUUUCUGAAACAAAACAGGCAUUUAGAAUACAUCCAGUGUAACUAUUUGUGCAAAGAGAAUUGAAAAUAACAAACUAGAUUUGUAUACAAAACAACUAUGCAAUUAUUGAGGUUCCAAAUUAAGCUAUAAAAUACAAAUUUGAACAAAAAAUAUCAUAACAUUUGUUUUCUAAAAAUCUGUUCAAGUGAAAUGUACAAACAAAAUAGCAUAACUAUCAUUUUAAAGAAACUCCGUGGAUAUUAAGUGAAUAACUAUUUUGGUAAUCUAGCAUCCCACUUUAUGCUUGAAGCAAUCUAGAUAUAUUGGAUAAAAGACAAUUGAGAAAUAUUAUUGAGUAGACAGUUGUAUAUUAACCUUUAAUUCCUCAUAUGCCCAAUAGUAUUGGGGAUAUUUUCCACCAGCCCCUCCGAAUGCCUCUUGCCACGAGUCCAGCAGUAUUAAAAUUUUAUCCCUCACUUGCAUGUUUGUCUAAAUUAUCAAUUCAUACAUAAAUGUUAUAGAUGAGACAACCCACGAGAAUAUAAAAUUUUAAAUAGAUCACAAUAGUUAUCAAACAUAUAUAAAGUACCAUGACAUCUGCAAAGCAUCAGUACUCUGACAAAUUUGGAUAGGUAAAUACCAUUCAUAUUUAGGUUGACUAAUUAAACAUAAGGGCGCCAAUUUAACAUUGUAAUAUAAGGGAUUGCAUGAGAAAUCUAAACUAGGCUGUAAACAGUAUAAGAUACAGGUCAUUAAUGAUGUAUUGGAGUGGCGCAUCAAACUUGAUUUGGACAUUAAUUGAACAAGGCACUGGGUGCUACUAAACAACAACACCAUCAAAUGCCAUAUUAAUGAAAUAAAUAACUCAUAAUGUUUGCAUUGAACUUUGGUACUAAACGGCCUAAUAGGGACAUUUUCCAAAACAGUCCAACUCUGCCGCACAACAGUUCAGCGGAGAGAAACAAAAAUGAUUUCCACUAUCGUUAAGAGUUGCAGGUGUGUAUCAUCGUCAAUAUGAGCCUUGAUUACCAUCCCCUCUUGUCAAUGUUAUCUAAAUUUCUCUUGCUAAAUGUUUUUACUUUCACAGAUAUAAAAAUUAUGGAUAACAGAAAGAAUGCCAAAGGUGGAAUGAUAAAUGCAAGAUUUGAAGGCUGAAGAAAACUCCAUGUUUGAGUAAUUAUAUCAAAAAAAAAAACAUUACUAAUUGAUACUAAGUAUGAAGAAUAGAACAACAAAUUGUUGAGCAUCAACGUACAAAUUAAAACAUACUACAUCUCAAGUUUUCAAUCACCACAAUCAUACCUUCUUCCUAACAAUCUUUAUCAUCUCCUCCAGUACGUUCCUAUCGGUGAUUUGAAAGUGCACAUAUUCACCACAGUUCUUCACCAUUGUCUCCAGAAGCUAAUCAAUAGACAACAAGAAACCAUAAAUCAUGUUUCAAACAUGACUUCAGAAUUUAAGUAUAGAAGGAAACACCCACAAAAAGAAAACUUGAGGUAAAUAAACAAGAGUUAGACCCAAAACCAUUGCCAAGAAAGUACCGUGAGAGCUAGUAUUUGAACUUUAGAGCUCUUAUGUUGUAUUCUCUUCUUCACAGCUUUAACCACGUCUUUUGGCUGCCUGAAAAAUUAACACCACCAAAUAUUCAGUUAAAAAAAACCACUGUAAAUUUCCCAAUUAACUAGUUCUUUAAAGUAAAAAUAAAAAUAAAAAGCAAAAACCAAGUUGACAUACUAAUUUGUACUAAAAUCUACUAAACAUGGUUUUUACAAGAAAAUUUUAAACUAGUGAAAUUAUUUUCACACACUGAGAGCUACAAUUGUGCAUGAAAAAAAUAUAAAACACUAAUCAUUAUUUUUUUGAAUAAAAAAUUGGAAAAAAGUACACUUGAUUAACUCAUUAACCCUCUUGAUUAAUUCUUCAGAAAAACACCAUAAUAUAAAAUAUCCUCAACAACAACCCAAAUUAAAAAUAAAUAAAUAAAUAAAAACCUAAAAAUUUCACCUUUUCCCCCCCAAAUUUCAUUAUCAUAACAAAAAGCACAAAAUCACAAGCAUGUAGAUGAUGAUUAAAGUCAACCCAACCCCUUGAAAACCAAAAAAAAAACUCUAGAAAUAGAUAUGCUAUAUAAAUUUUUCACGUUUGCUUAUAGUUGAAGAAUUUACCAAUGAUUAGAAUUGAUGGAAUCACAAAUUUCGAUGUUCAUGGUCCAAUCAGGCCCCAUAAGAAGAUCGCUAGUUGCUUUCUCUACUGCGACAGUAGCUGAAGAAGAAGAACCAGCCAUCAUAUUUUCCCCUCUCUGAACAACGAAUAAUCGCUUCCCGAAUAAUCGAUUCUCGAUCAAUAACCCUAAACUCAAAAGAAGAAAAUUUAUCAACAAAAAAACUCCUCUGAAAUUACGAAACCCUAGCGCAAUUCAUGAACGAAACGGAACAAAUCAAUAAUCAUGAGAAUUCGAAAAGUCGUCGCUUUUAAUUUAUUUAUUAUUUUAUUUUUACGAUAUGAGGUAAAGUGGAUUCGGCGAAAUUUUGUUUUAUGGAAAUAAUUUUUGUUGAAAGGAAAAAAGAAAUUCGCGGAAAAUUCGUAAUAUUCGUUUAUUUAUUUGGCUGAAAGGAACUUGCGAUAAUUGGGCGGUGUUUUGAGACGCACUCGCUCUUUAUGCGUGUCUUAUUCAACGCGCCACGUGGCAGACUUGCAUGGAGAGAAAUUUUUGAAUUUGGUUUUCUUUGAUGCUAUUCGUCAUCAUAACUGUAUUCUGAAUAGGAUCUUGGUGUUGCUAUGUGAAGGAUGAGCUUUUCUUUCUCUCUUUUUUUAAUGAAGAAUUCAAUUAAUAUAAAAUUAAUCAUAAUUCUCGGAUCUUAAAUUAUAUUUAACAAUUAUUUAAUUAUAUUUGAAAUAAAUAAUAAAUAAAGAGAAAAAAAUUGUUAACACCUAAUAUUGCAUUAUUAUAAUAUUUAUAUGUUAAUUCAUCUUUAUUACUAUUAAGAACAUCAUUUAUCAAUAAAAAAGAUUAAAUAGUUUGACUCUACAAAAAAAAUGUGUAUCUUGAUAGUAGAUGUUUGAGACAUAUGACAGGUGACAUAUCUCUAUUCAUUGACUUUGUGUCAAAAAAGAAGGGGUUCGUCACUUAUGGAGAUAAUAAUAAAGGAGUUAUACUUGAAAACGGUAGUGUGGGUAAUCUUUCAUCUACUACUAUAUUCGAUUUUAUGGUAGUUGAUGGUCUUAAACAUAACCUUCUUAGCAUUAGUCAAUUUUAUGACAAGGGAUUUAAAGUUACUUUUACAAAUUUUUAUUGCUUAUUUGAACAUAAUGAGAAGAAGGAUUGCAUGUUUAAAGACUUGAGAAUUAAUAAUACAUAUAUACUUAACUUAGAUGAUGUAUCAUUGAUUGGAAUUAAGUGUCUUGCUACCAUGAGCGAAAACUCUUGGUUUUGGCAUAGACGUUUAGCUCACAUCAACUUUGAUUAAAUAAACAAAGUAACCUCAAAAGAUUUAGUAAUCGGUCUACCAAAAAUGAAGUUCACAAAAGACCAUUUAUGUGAAGUGAGUCAAAUGGGGAAGCAAACGAGGGUGUCAUUUAAAUCGAAAAAUAUAGUUUCAACCUCGAGACUGCUUGAGCUUCUUCAUUUGGACUUUUUUGGUCCCUUAAGGACCAAAAGCAUAGGUGGUAACUAUUAUGGCUUUCUGAUUGUCGAUGAUUACUCUAGAUUUUGUUGGGUUAUGUUUUUGUAUAGUAGAGAUGAGACACAUCCGACUUUCAAACAAUUUUCUAUAUUGUUUCAAAACAAGAUUAACUUGAAAAUUAUUUCCAUCUAAAGUGAUCAUGGAAGAAAAUUUGAAAACCUACUCUUUGAGAAGUAUUGUGAAAAAUAUGGCAUUAAGCAUAACUUUUCCUCCCCUAGAACUCCACAACAAAAUGGGAUUGUGGAGCGCAAAAAUCGCAUUUUAGAGGAGUUAGCAAGGACUAUGCUUAAUGAAAGCAAUUUACCAAAGUAUUUUUGGGUUGAUGCAAUUAGCACGACAUGUUAUGUCUUGAAUAGGAUUCUAGUACGUUCUAUUCUAGAUAAAACACCCUAUGAACUACUUAGAGAUAGAAAACCGAAUGUUUCUCAUCUUCAGGUUUUUUGAUGUGAAUGCUUCAUUUUGAACAAUGGAAAGGAUAAUCUUGGCAAAUUCGAUUCGAAAGUUGAUGAGGGUAUCUUCCUUAGAUACAUACAAUAUAGUAAAGCUUAUAGGGUUUAUAACAAAAGGCUACUUGUUAUUGAAGAGUCGGUUCACGUUAUUUUUUAUGAGUCUUUUCCAAAAAAAAAACGUUGGGAUGAGUGUUAUUUUUCAUGAUGUAUGUGUGUUUUCACAAGAUAUUCUCAAGGAGCCCGACGAUGGAAUUGAUCAACCUAAAGCGGUGGAAAAUGAGAAAGUUGAAGAUGAUGAUUGUGAAGAGGAAAAGGUGGAAAGUCCAGAUACAUUGGAUAACUUUCCUUUGACUUGGAGAACAUCCAAAUAUCAUCAUAUUGACAACAUACUUGAAGACAUCACCAAAGUCGUGACAACACGCUCCAAGAUAAGUAACUUUUGUUAUCAUUUUGCGUUUGUUUCACAGGUUGAACCUAAAGAUGCUAAAUAUGCAUUACUUGAUGAGCAUUGGCUUAUGGCCGUGUAAGAUGAACUAAACCAAUUUAAAAUAAAUGAUGUAUAAGAGCUUGUCCUCCGUCCAAAACAUCAUAAAGUAAUUGGCACAAUAUGGGUUUUUAGAAACAAGCUUGACAAAAAUGGAGUGAUAACACGGAACAAAUCCCUGCUAGUGGCUCAAGGUUAUAAUCAAGAGGAGGGCAUUGACUAUGAGGAGACUUAUGAUUUGGUCGCUCGCCUCAAGGCUGUACACCUUCUACUAGCAUAUGUUUGCUCCAAGAAUUUCAAGUUAUUUCAGAUGGACGUGAAAAGUGCUUUCUAAAUGGUUAUAUUAAUGAAGAGGUGUAUGUAGCUCAACCUCCCGGUUUUGAAAAUCACGAGUAUCCCAAUCACGUAUUCAAAUUAAAACGCACUUUGUAUGGUCUCAAACAAGCACCUAAAGCUUGGUAUGAGCGACGUAGUAAGUUUUUUAUUAAUCAAGGUACUCAAUGGGGAAAGUAGAUACUACUCUUUUUAUUAAGUGUCGUGGAAAUGAUACUCUUCUUGUUCAAGUUUAUGUCAAUGAUAUCAUUUUUGGAUCAACUAAUAUGCAACUUGUCAAAGAGUUUUCUAAGAUUAUGCAGGAUGAGUUUGAGAUGAGCCUAAUGGGGGAGUUGAAUUACUUCCUAUGACUUCAAAUCAAACAACUUAAUGAAGGCAAAUCCGUUUGUCAAAUCAAGUAUUACAAUGACUUUCUAAAGAGAUUUGGCAUGGAAGAUGCAAAAUCGAUUGACACUCUGAUGCCUACAAAUGGUAACUUGGAAAGGAAUGAAAAUGGUAAGGAUGUUGGUCUGAAAAAGUAUAGAGCUAUGAUUGGUUCUCUUAUAUAUCUCACUGCAUCUAGGCAUGAUAUUAUGUUUAGCGUCUGUAUGUGUGUCCGUUAUCAAUCGACUCCCAAGGAAUCACAUUUAAAAGCCGUUAAACGCAUUCUUAGGUACUUGUAUGGUACUUCUAAGUAUAGGCUUUGGUAUUCCAAGGGAAGUGAUUGUAAUUUAGUUAGGUAUACCGAUUAUGAUUUUGUCGGUUGCAAAUUGGAUAGGAAGAGUACUAGUGGAACUUGCCACAUGUUUUCAAAUUCUUUAGUUAGUUGGCAUAAUAAGAAAUAGGUUUUUGUUACUUUGUCAACUGCUGAGGCGGAAUACAUAGCAGCCGAUAAUUGUUGUGCUCAAAUUUUGAUGCUUAAACAACAACUAAUUGAUUUUGAUAUUAAACUACAAUGUAUUCCUAUUAUGUGUGUGCUAGUGCCAUUAAUCUAACCAAAAACUCGGUGUUACAUUCUCGCAUUAAGCAUAUUGAGAUUCGCCACCACUUCAUACACAAUCAUGUUGAGAAAGGCGAUGUCGUGUUUGAGCAUGUUGAUAGUAAAAAUCAACUUGCGGAUAUUUUUACAAAACCACUUACGACCAAACCAUUUUUCAACAUUUGAAUGGAAUUUGGGAUUCUUGACAUCUCAAAUAUUAUCUAAAUAUGAUUUGUCGUAUGCGUGUGUAUGUGUGUGUGCGCGUGCAUGUAUGUGUGUGUAUGUGUGUAUGUGUGUGUGUGUGUGUGUGUGUGUGUGUGAUCGCGACUAAUGUGUAUGUCGGAUAAUAACUGCAAGUAUACAGUUUAUCGCGUAGUUUUAAAAUAUUGUCGAAUCCAUAGAGACUAAUAAUCAAACUAAUGUUAUAUAUCGUUGCAAUUGCAAAGAUAAGGCUAAAAGUUAAAAGGAUAUGGACGAAAAUAUAAACGCUAAUUGCUAGAGGUUUGAAAAUGGUGAUGAAUCGAGCCCGAAAUAUGGAUUUUGUGUUCCUAAGGGACUUUGUAUAAUUCAGGUGCUAAUUACUAUUAGAUUAAGUUUCGUAGAAAAUAUUGAUUUAAAGACUCUGUCUCACACUCUCGCGCUAUUGACUAAAACCACACCUCCUAACCACAGGAUUUUGCUCUCGCUCGCCCGUUUCAAUUAGAAAGCGUAUUUCGAAAACCAAUGAGGUACUAAACGAUGCCUAAAUCGCUCUCGUUGUUUUUAGGAUCGAUGCCUAGUUUCCACUAUUCAGUUCCUUAUUCACACUCUCGCACUAUCGGUUUGAACCUUAGUUUAUUCUUCACUCUCGUAUCAAAACAAUGAAACAUACAAUUGGAAACUAAAACCAAAACAGAAUUUAAUCACAAUUUCGCGCCUAUUAUUUCUACCGAGUCCCUUCGGUAACGACAGUCCUCAUACGCCGGACUCAGACAAAAUUAGCAAGACAUAAUUAUAAUUAGAAAUAACAUGAUCAAAGCAAUUAUAUUUAAAACUAACAUAUCAUAUAAUAUAGAAACGACAAUAACAAGCAUAUAUAAUAAAAUGGUAAAAACCUAAAAUUAAAGAAACGAAGACUUGAAUUGAAAUGAAAAUGCUGGCAGGCUUGUUCUUGAUCCAAGAGUACAAUACAAAUAAAAUGAAAACAAGUGUGACAAUCCCUCAAUGUGAGUUAUUGUCACUUUUACAGGUGAAUUUAUGCCUAAAACUAUGAAGUAAAUUCGACAGAGCUUCCGCACAACUUGGAUGCCUUUGAAACACCUCGAGGAGUCCUAUUAUAGAGGUCCCCCCUUGUAACAUCCCUUGGUCGUGCCAACAAAGUGGAGGGAAAAGAAAGUGGGAAAAACAGUUGAGAAUCUGCUCCCACAUAGAAAACUACUUUUGCAUGAUAACGAUGAAUGUCAUUAGGGCAAUGGUGAAUGCCAUUGCCUCGAUCAUUAAAUGAGGUGGCAUGUCUGGACAAUGGCGAAUGCCAUAUGCACACUGUGGACGCCAUAUCAGUAAAAUGGGCAAAAUCUUGUUCUUUUGCUACUCUUUUGCUCCUUUUCCAAUUUGCUUUCGAAUCUGCACCGAAUCUAGCUGACAACGGCAAAACGAGUAAAAAUGAACUAAAAGGUGAUAAAACAUAUUGAAAUAAAUACGAAUAACAUGUGACAUAAGCCUAAAAAUAUGAUACAAUUUCUCAUUAUCAAACUCUCACACACUUAGAUUGUUGCUUGUCCUCAAGCAAUCACCCAAUGCAAAUGAUAAACAAUUAAGUACAGUGUCUGAGACAUAGGCACGACAAAACUCUAAAAAGUAGGAGGCUUCUGGGCUAGUGUUAAAUAGAUAGGUACUAGAUAUCGACAAUAAGGAUACCAUAAUGACACAUAUUUUCAUUACACAGACAACCCCCCCAAUGCAAAACCAAUUUGAAUCAUGCCAUUAUAACUCGACUUACACUCUUUGUUAUUUUUCACCUCUUUUUCAUUCUAGUGCAAUCACAUUAAGCAUGUUAUCUGUACACAUUCAUGGCAGGCGAACCUGUUAGUGACUAUGAUCUCGUUUUCAAAAAAAAAUCUCCACUUACUUUGGAAAUUUGCUUAAGCAUCAACUGAAUUUGUAAGAGUUUGUACAAUUGGGCUAAAUGAUUGGGUGAGGAUCACCUAAUUUAGAAGGGACAUAUCUUAUCACAAUUUUUUUAAAAAAAUCGUUUUAAUCCUGAGAUCAUAGACUUAUUUACAUCAGCUUCCUUACUCAAUGUAUGCUUAGGAUGGUGUUGAGUGCUUAAAUAAACUACUUAAGAGGCUACUUCAAAAACUUAGAAUUUAAGGUCUCGGCAUAAUGGUUAUUCAAAUUGAUGUCACAUACUUAGGGAGUUUAGGGUUUUAGGACGGUACCGAUAUUAUUGAAACUUUCCCAAGUCUAUUUAACAAAGCCUAAGAAUGAGAAACAACUUAUACUCUCGAGGUGUCAUGCCAUUGAAUCAAAACAAUUUUUUUUAUUGGGGGUCAAAUCUAAGGGAAUUUUCCAACAAGGGAAAAGAAUAUCAUGUAAUAUGACUCAACAUCACAUGUAUGGCUCGAUUAAACAUAUAAGCAACCAAGAAAAAUAACUUAAACUAAAAGAAACUAACUAGAAAAAUAGUAAAAAAAUAAAAAAAAAAUAAAGCGGGAAAGCUCCUCCCCUACACUUGAACCAAACAUUGUCCCCAAUGUUUCAGUGCAAGGUGGAAAAGGGGAUAGAUAAAACCUGGUAGGUGGCUCAGUGAUGCCGGUUGCGGCCUCUAUGACGUCCAAUACCACCUCUGUCGUACACAGGGUGUGGUACAUGUUGCAUAUACUCCCUCAUAUUUGAUACUUCCAUGCACACUCCGUUCAUUUGCCCAGUGAGGUCACCCGUGUUGAGCUCGGUCCUCUCAACAAAGUCAAGUUAAGUCUCUCUGAUCUGAUCAAUGGUGACCCAUAUCUCCUCUUACUGCCUCUGUAUACUCCUAAGUAACAUGUCACGAUCCGUAUCAAUAUCAUUCUGAUGUCUAAGCUCACUCAGGAUAUCAUCAAGAGUUGUCUUCAUAGCAGUGUAGUCGCACUCCACGCGGGGCUGAUAUCCGGAUGAGGUACCUGCAAAAGAGUCAGGAAAAUCAUAUGUGGUGUGUGCAUGGGUGCCAAUAUGGGGAGCAUCUUGUGUUAGACGAUAGUACCGAUCUAGAAGGGGGAUGAAUAGAUCAGGCAUUUAAAAAUUUAGCACUUUUUAAAAUUGUUUUUAAAGGUUGCGAAAGCUCCCUAGACCACGAUCGUCUAAAUGAUCCGUUACUGGAAAUAUCAGAUAUGCGUAAAACCUAAUGGAAUGACUAAGAUAUAGCUAAUCAAUAGAAAUCUUAAUCAAUCGAUCAACUACACAAAUCCUUGAUAUAACUACCACCAAUGAUGAAUUAAAACAAUGAGAAAACAAGCAAAAUGUUGAUAAACUUAUGUGAAGUUAAUUUUAGCAAGCACUUGGUGUGCACACUACACCAAGUCUUAAUUUCACUUGAAUUGAUUGUGCAUAAUUUUCCUUAGUUACAACCAAAGUGAUUGCAAUAAUUGAUCCAACAAAUUUAAUGCACAACAAUUAAGUGAGAUGAAGUUACCAAUUAGUUUCGCAUAAGAUUCAAUUUAUGCAGAAAUUAAAGAGUUAGAGAAAGAGAGAACAACGCCAAAUUUGUUUAAGCAAUUCUCAUUUCGUCCUCGCUUCGGGUACGUCUGCCCCCAAUUCUAAAACUAGAAUUUAGAUAUUUAUUAUCAAUUGAAAAGUUUAUACAAGAUAAGAAAUAAUCACCACCAAGCAAACCUAAGUAUUGUUGUAGAUCUUAUUCACUUCUCUCCCCUUGAUUCAAUUUGAACCAAGUGCUUCAAACAUUCUGAACAAACCUCUUAUUGUAGCUACCUUAUUGCAAGAACUCCAAGUUCUCCAAAACUCUAGCUCGGCUGAUUUCGAUCGUGACAUGCUUGAACCCAAACCUUUCUUCAUAAUCCUCUGGUUACCGAUACUCGUUCGAAUGAACCCACCAUUAUUCAAACCUUUCACCCGGCUGAAUCUAUGAAGCGAAGAUUUGUACAAAAAACCCCAAAUCUUGGAGGACAAAACCCUAAGAUUCUAUUCAAGAAAAACCCACUAAAAACCUCUACCCCAACCAAGACACGCAUUCCUAUUUAGACGUUAUCACCACAAUAAUGCACUAUGAUCAACAAAAAUUGUUAUGUGUAGUUGUUGAAACAUGCAAUGAAGAAUGAAGAUGAAGAGGAACUUUAGUGUAUAUCUUUCACUUUUCUUGUUAUUUCCUGAAAAUGAGACUCAAGAAUAUAUAUAUUAUAUAUAUAUAUAUAUGAUGUAUGGACCAACUGAAAAACACAACAUAACUUUUAGCAAAAAUACACAACAGAAAAAUGACUGAUAUCAGCGACCACUUGACCUGUUCACACUGGGGGCUCGACCUGUUCAGACCCGCAACAACACAAUUCAAAUAAAACAGGUUAUGAGUCGACUUAAACAGGGAGAUAAGUCGACUCGUGUUAUUUUUCUAGAAAUGAGUCGACCUAUGACUCUACCUGAUCAGACCCGUGAGAUACAAAGAAAAUUAAAUGCAUGAAUGAGUUAACCGCUCCAAAGCAUGAGUCGACUCAAAUACUUGACCUGUUCACACUGGGGACUCGACCUGUUCAGACCCAUAAGUUACAAAGAAAAUGACAUGCAUGAAUGAAUCGACCUCUCCAAAGCAUGAGUCGACUCAAAGAUUUUAAAUGGUCAAAAAUGAGUUUUUUAAGAUGUAUUUUGGUCAAUCCAAAUCAUUAUCUUAUGGACCUAAGGUACCAACAAUGAUCAAGUGCAAUAUUGACAUAUAUGAGAUGCUCAUAUAUGCAUAGACACAUUGAAUUGAUACUUUGAGCAUGUUAAAGAAUGAAUGCACUCUACGAUAUGAUGACACUGUUUAAAGUACACAGUAUGAGCUACUAAAAGGUUUGACAUCAUUAAAACAAGGACUAAGAACCUUUGCCCUCACAUACUCCCCAUUUUUUAUGAUGGCAAACCGUGGCACAAUCUUUCAUAUAUCGUGUACUUUGAUAGACAUCCUCCCCCUGAUUUUAUGCAUUCCUUUGAAAAAAAUAUGCUAUCAUAAUCAUAAGAUAUGUUUCCAUUGCUUCUUUUUGAUGAUGUCAAACCGUGGCACAAUUUUUCAUAUAUCGCAUACUUUGAUAGACAUCCUCCCCCCGAUUUUAUGCAUUCCUUUGAAAAAAUCUGCUAUCAUAAUCAUAAGUUGUGUUUCCAUUGCUUCUCCCCCUUUGGUAACAUCAAAAAGAGACAAGGACAAGGUCAACUGGAAUCAAAGUAUAUUCAUAAGCACGUAAUCAACCACUUUGUAACAGAUUAACAUUAACAACCAUUCACAUAAAAUGAAGUUAAUGUAAUAAAUAUAAUCAUAAAUAAGACACGACACUAGAAAAAGAAAUUUACACACUGCAUUGCCAAAUUUGUUCAACAUAAGUUCCAAGACAAAUAAACUAAACACAAUAACAUGCAAACAUGAAAUGCAACAAUGGUCCUAAUGAUGAAUGCAUGUUAAAUAUGAUUCAUAAGCAAGUUUACACAUAUUUCAAACAUAGAUUCCUAAUGAUGAAUGCAUGUUAAAUAUGAUUCAUAAGCAAGUUUACACAUAUUUCAAACAUAGAAAUGGAUUAAGCUUAGACCAAACCAUAAAAUAAACAUCAAGAAAGUGCAUUAUAUAGAACAAGUACAUACAUAUAUAAAUGAUCAAGAUAGUUCAAAUAGAUAGGAACGAUAUUACCUCCAAUGACGAUAAACGAUGAAUACCCUCAUAUAGCUCGCACUUAUCAAUGUGAUUAAUCAAAUAAUAGACAAGCAUAAAUAUAGAGCAAACAUCAUAUAUAAAUUUAAAAGUGAUCUGAGAUAUCGUGAACACCAAGUUCCCUACGGAUGUGGAAGAAAGGUUCUGUCGCAAGUGGUUUUGUGAAAAUAUCGGCAAGUUGAUUUUUGCUAUCAACGUGCUCGAAAACGACAUCACCUUUCUCUACAUGAUCCCUAAGGAAGUGAUGCCAAAUUUCAAUAUGUUUAGUGCAUGAAUGUAGUAUAGGAUUUUUAGUUAGAUUAAUGGCGCCUGUAUUGUCACACAAAAUGGGAAUACGAUUAAGUUGGACAUUGAAGUCGAGUAAUUGUUGUUUGAGCCACAAGAUUUUGGCACAACAACUACCGAUUACAACAUAUUCCGCCUCGACUAUUGAUAAAGCAACGAAAACUUGCUUUUUACUGUGCCAACUCACUAAGGAAUUUGAAUAAAAAUGACAAGUACCACUAGUGAUUUUCCUAUCCGAUUUGCAACCAGCAAAGUCAGAAUCAGAGUAGCCAACCAAAGAACAAUCACUUCCCUUAGAAAACCAAAGCCUAUACUUUGAAGUAUCACAUAGGUAUCUAAGUAUGCGCUUGACUGACUUUAAGUUUGAUCCUUUGGGACAUGAUUGAUACCUAGCACAAGUACAUACACUAAACAUAACUAGAUGAGAUGCGGUAAGAUAUAGGAGGGAUCCUAUCAUACCUAUAUACCUUUUUAUAUCUACGGCCUUACCAUUUUCAUCUCGGUCCAUAUUUACCGUAAUAGGCAUUGGAGUGUCAAUUACUUUGGAGUUUUCCAUAUCGAAGUACUUGAGUAACUCAUUGCAGUAUUUCGUUUGGCUCACAAAAGUUCCUUCUUCAAAUUGCUUGAUUUGAAGUCCAAGGAAGUAAUUUAAAUCCCCAAUCAUGCUCAUUUCAAAUUCUCCAUGCAUCAACUUAGAGAAUUCCUUGACCAAAUUUAUCUUAGUAGAUCCAAAAAC
rnacentral:lncRNA from 1 species